GCCUCAGUGCGCUGCUGCUCCUCUUCCUCGGCGGCCGCCUCCUCCGGCUCCUCCUCGGCUGCCUCCUGCCCCGCGUCCUCGGGCUCCUCCAGGAAGGUGGCAAGUAUAUCAAGUGGUUGACUUUCGGCUGUGUAGCAGCACAUCUUUCACCUCAUCAGAGCAUUCAACCUCCAAGUCUUGGAACCAAGAAGGAGCCAAGCAUGGAGGCGGCAGAUCUGCUUGUUGUUUUGAGAGAAAAGGUGAGGAAUGAGCUGAAGAGAAACCAUAGGACAUACUUCCAUCUAUGCUAGUAGCCUCAGUGAAGCAUUUGGUCAUCUUCUUGAGAAAGGACUAUUCUCAGUAAGUUCUCAAUCAAGAAACACUUAACUGACAAUGGACUUUGGGAGACACCAAUCCACAUCUGAGCUUUUCUGGGAACAGUCAAACUAAAGGCAUCAGCCUGCAAAGAGCUGAAUCAUUCAUGGACAUGUGACUUGCCCAGGUGGCUACAAACUCCAUCUUGUUGCUGUGAUUUUGCACAGAAGAACAAAAGGGUUUCUGCUCACAAGAGAGACUAUAAAAGGCCUUGGAAAUCCCUCCAUUUGGUCUCUAGCUGGCUCAAGAGAUGGCCUCCCCCCACCCAAGAGAUGCCUGAAAGAAACUGGAACAAAGGAUAGUAACUACGGGGGGUGAGAGUGAUUGCUGGACCCAGACUAGGAAGAAGUCCAGUCUGUGAAAAAAGCUUAUUGGAACGUCUCUGGGGGGUUGAUGCGAUGGAGGCUGGUGUCUGGCCAGAUGACUUUGGCAAGAUCUAGAAUCACCUCAUUCAUUGGGAGGGCAACUUUGGACAAGGAGGCAGCAUGGAGAAUAUCCAUCAGCUUGUGAUGUGUGUCUUAUCUCCUGCAGGGGAAUUUGCAGCUCAUCUGCCACUCUCCUGAAUUUCACACAGUAAAAAUCUAGAAAUUAAACCUUUAAUGUUUAGACAAGAUGGUCAUCACAUUAUCCUAGAAGCAUCCAAUUGUGAAUAAAUAUUUGAUUAAAAAGAUACAGAGGAAAAUACAGCACAUUGCCGCAUUUCAACAAUGACAAGCAAUCUCACACACAAGGGAAAAAGAGGGGAAAACUCUUCAAUUUCAAAUUUCUGGGGAAACUUCAAGAGAGUGAGGAAAAUAUUAAGAAGUAUGAAAAGUAACUUGGACAAUAGUAGGCACAUACAUAAAUUUAAUGGAAGAGAAGUGCUAAACUUGGAAACAACCUGGUUUUUUUUUCCCUGUCAGAUUUGGCAUUUAUAACUUGAUCUCAGACUUGACUAAACAUCAAGGCUAAUGUUAUGUGUAGUUCUUUAUGAAAUGGUUCUCUUUACCAUGAAACUGUAAACACAUGCUACUGCUUUCAAUCUAAUUCCAAAAUAUGUGUUUACAAUAUCACUGUAAAGAUACUUACUGGCUGAAGCCUGAGGUUGAAUGCGAGGUAUUCCUCCAUUUGGCACUUGAAAAUUUGAAUCACUUCUGCUGUUUUUCACAGACUCAGCAUGGAUGUUAGAUGUCCUGGACAGGUUUGGAAGACUACGCCUUAGUUUUUCUGUAUAAAAAAAAACAAUGCAAAGACACAACGUACAAUCUCAUGCAGAAGACUGAUAACAUAACUGACAGUCUUCAAAAACUGACCUGAAAGUUAAUUUUGCUGUAUAAAACUGCACUGCAAAUUAAAAACUAAAUACUAUUUAGACCAUUCUGUUGUUCUACAGAUGACAAUUAUUUUCUUAUGCCUCACGUGAAAUAUUCUGCAUGUAUUUUCUUCCUAAAUAUGUAGUAAUUUUGCUGUGUGCAAGUCAGAAAUAUAGCUGAUUUCAAAACUCUCAAA